UACGGAAGGUGCAAGCGUUAAUCGGAAUCACUGGGCGUAAAGCGCACGUAGGCGGUGCGGUCAGUCAGAUGUGAAAGCCCUCGGCUCAACCGGGGAACUGCAUUUGAUACUGCCGUACUUGAGUACUGGAGAGGCAGGCGGAAUUCCAGGUGUAGGAGUGAAAUCCGUAGAUAUCUGGAGGAACACCGGUGGCGAAGGCGGCCUGCUGGACAGAUACUGACGCUGAGGUGCGAAAGCGUGGGGAGCAAACAGGAUUAGAUACCCGGGUAGU
rnacentral:rRNA from 1 species